UACGUAGGGUGCAAGCGUUUAAUCGGAAUUACUGGGCGUAAAGCGUGCGCAGGCGGUUUUGUAAGUCUGUCGUGAAAUCCCCGGGCUUAACCUGGGAAUUGCGAUGGAGACUGCAAGGCUAGAAUCUGGCAGAGGGGGGGUAGAAUUCCACGUGUAGCAGUGAAAUGCGUAGAGAUGUGGAGGAACACCGAUGGCGAAGGCAGCCCCCCUGGGUCAAGAUUGACGCUCAUGCACGAAAGCGUGGGGGAGCAAACGAGG
rnacentral:rRNA from 1 species